AUCUUGCUGUGAGGAUGUUUUUCAGUAGCAGGAACUGGGAGACUAGUCAGGAUUGAGGGGAAAUAUGAAUGCAGCAAUGUACAGAGACAUCCUGGAUGAAAAAAUGCUCCAGAGUGCUCCUGAGCUCAGAUUGGGGUGAUAGUUAAUUUUUCAGCAGAACAAUGACUCUAAGCACACAGCCAAUAUAUAAAAGGAUUGGCUUCAGGACAACUCUGUGAAUGUCCCUGAGUGGCCCAGCCAGAGCCCAGAC